AAAGCCAAUAGAUUUGUUGGCAACAAAAACUGGCAGGACUCUGCCCCUCUUGCCCCUAUGCAAAGUGGAAUUACUCUCCAUAUCAGAUAUAGUCACUCUCUGGCUACUUUUGCCCACAGCUUUGCCCACUCUGCUUUCAAAAAGAAAAUUCUGUUAAAAGAGUAUUAAAAAACAAAACAAAACAAAAAAACAGAAAGACACAUUGCUUUACUACUGCGGAGAAAUUAAGAGUGCAGUAUUCGGUCCCUCCAGUGCAAUAAUGAGUAGAAAAGCUUUUUGAUCUAUGUUUGAUAUUCAAAAUUCCAAGCGGUUUUAACAAAAUGUGUGCUUAUCCAGACUGUAUUUCACUGCUCGGCCAAUUUCUUCAAAUAAUGCUCUUAGGAAAAUGUAAUAUGGCCUCUGAUUAUGCUUAAUGAAUUAUUUAACAUGCGUGUUUGCAAAGUACCUGCAGGGAAAGAUUUUUUUUCCUUCCAAAUUACGUUUAGAUGUUUGUUUGUUAUUUUGUAUUUAUUGAGGUUACUUUUAUUGCACUGGUGACUCUUACAUUUAUUUUGCAGAAUUUCUAAAAUGCAUUCAUUUUUUUCACCAGAGUAAAUGUUAAGUGUUUCCCAGUUAAACCAUAUUCAAAG